GGUUGUGGCUUCUGAGUUCUGCUUUUGCCUGCCACUUCCAAAUGAUUUUUAAAAUAAAACGAACAACUCGUAUAUACCUCAAAAGCAUUCUCAGAACUCCCGAUUCUGGAGUUGACGCAACGAAAAAGCGCGCCAAAGCUGUGAUUGUGACCUCUGUGUCCGUAUGACUGUAUCUAUAUAUGUAUAUCUUAGAUGAAUUUUUGCAGUGCAGGUGUCAUGGGGAAGCAGAAGCAACAGGUGAUUUCUCGAUUCUUUGCGCCAAAACCCAAGUCCCCAUCCUCUUCCUCUUCAUCGCCGCCGUCAAUUCCGGCUCCUCAACCGUUUUCACCCCCAAAGAUAUCGGCAACAGUCACUUUCUCUCCUUCCAAACGCCUCCUCUCUUCUGCACUCGCCUCCCAAUCGACACCACCCAAAUCCUCAAAACGCCCAAAACUCUCCCCCCAUACCCAAAACCCUGUUUCUCCCCUGCCCAAUCCCUCACUUCACAAAAGAUUCCUCCAGAAGUUCCUCGAACCCACCGAAAAUACUCUACAACCUUCUAAUCCAAACCCCAAACCACCGCCGGGGGGUGAUCCCAAAUACACCCCUUUGGAGCUACAAGUUGUGGAACUGAAAAAGAGACACCCUGAUGUUCUUUUGAUGGUAGAAGUUGGUUACAGGUACAGAUUCUUCGGGGAAGAUGCCGAAAUAGCGGCUAAAGUGUUGGGUAUUUAUGCCCACUUAGAUCAUAAUUUCAUGACUGCGAGUAUACCAACGUUUAGGUUGAAUGUACAUGUGAGGAGGCUGGUGAGCGCAGGGUAUAAGGUGGGUGUAGUGAAGCAAACCGAAACUGCUGCAAUUAAGGCGCACGGAUCGAACAAAUUAGGCCCCUUUUGCAGAGGAUUGUCGGCAUUGUAUACUAAGGCAACACUUGAGGCGGCCCAGAAUUUAGGGGGAGGUGAAGAGGGGUGUGGGGGAGAGAGUAACUACUUGUUCUGUGUGGUUGAAAAGGGUAUGUUGGUGGAAAAUUUGGACUGUAGAAUAGAAAAUGGGGUUGAUGUGAAAAUUGGGAUGGUUGGAAUUGAGAUAUCAACUGGGGAUGUUAUUUAUGAGGAAUAUAGUGAUAACUUUAUGAGAAGUGGGCUUGAAUCAAUGCUUUUGAGCUUGUCUCCUGCUGAGUUACUUGUUGGGGAUCCCAUAUCAAAGCUAACAGAGAAGUUAUUACUAGGUUAUGCUGGACCUGCCUCAAAUGUUCGUGUGGAGCAUGUUUCACGAGAUUGCUUCAAAGAUGGCAGUGCACUAGCUGAAGUGAUGUCUUUAUAUGAAAACAUUUCCCAAGAUAACUUAGCAGAUCAUCACAACCCGGAUACAGGAUUUAUUGAACAAAAGACUGAUCACUUGGCUAUUAAGGAAAUAAUGAACUUGCCAGAUUUAGCUCUUCAAGCAUUGGCCUUGACCAUUCGUCAUUUAAAGCAAUUUGGUUUAGAAAGAAUUGUGUCGUUGGGGUCUUCUUUCAGGCCAUUCUCAUGCAAAGUGGAAAUGUCUCUUUCAGGCAAUACACUUAAACAACUUGAGGUUCUGAAGAAUAAUGAUGAUGGUUCUGAAACUGGCUCCUUACUACAGUCCAUGAAUCAUACUCUUACUAUAUUCGGUUCAAGGCUUUUUCGGCAAUGGAUAACACAUCCUUUAUGUGAUAGAGACAUGAUAAUUGCUCGUCAAGAGGCCGUCUCUGAAAUUGCUGCUUCUAUGGCAUCUUCAAAAGUAUCACAAAACAUCAUAGAGUUAGAUGAAGCAGAUUCUGAUGUGAUGGUCAUUGAACCAGAAUUGAAUUAUGUACUUUCUUCAGUGUUAACAACUUUGGGAAGGACACCAGAUAUUCAGCGAGGUAUAACAAGAAUCUUUCACCGAACUGCAACCCCAUCAGAGUUCAUCGCAGUUGUUCAAGCUGUUUUAUUUGCUGGAAAACAGCUUCAGAAGUUUAACAUCGAUGAAGAGGAUGACAAUUAUUCCAGUGCAAGUAUGAUUGGAUCCAAGCUCCUAAGAAAGCUGAUUUUAUCUGCCUCUUCCUCUGGUUUAAUUAACACUGGUGCAAAACUUUUGUCAACGAUCAGCAAAGAAGCUGCAGAUCAAGGGGACCUACCAAACCUUAUGAUCAUUAAUAAUAAUGACCAAUUUCCCAAGGUUGGUAGAGCUCGAAAGGAGGUUCAAUCUGUGAGAGAGAAAUUGGAUUCUCUGAUCACCUUAUACCGCAAGCAGCUUGGAAUGCGGAAGUUGGAGUUUGUUAGCGUUUUGGGAACUACGCAUUUGAUUGAGUUGGCCUCAGAUGUGAAGGUACCUUCAAAUUGGGUUAAGGUCAAUAGUACCAAGAAAACCAUAAGGUAUCACCCACCUGCAGUGUUGAGUGCAUUAGACGAGCUAUCCCUGGUGAAUGAGGAGCUCAUGGUGGCAUCUCGUGAUGCUUGGGAUGUCUUUCUAAGCGGGUUCAGUAGCUAUUAUGCAGAGUUUCAAGCUGCUGUUCAAGCGUUGGCUUCCAUAGACUGUCUGUAUUCGUUGGCAAUUCUCUCAAGAAAUAUGAAUUAUGUUCGUCCAGAGUUUGUGCAUGACGAUGAACCUGGUCAGAUAUUUAUCCGUUCUGGACGCCAUCCGGUUUUGGAGAGUACAUUAGGAGGGAAUUUUGUGCCGAACGACACAAAUAUGAAUGUGAAUGGAGAGCAUUGUGAAAUAGUUACAGGACCAAACAUGGGAGGGAAAAGUUGCUACAUUCGACAAGUGGCUCUCAUUGCUCUGAUGGCUCAGGUUGGUUCCUUCGUACCAGCAUUGUCUGCAAAACUCCGCGUCCUUGAUGCUAUAUACACUCGAAUGGGUGCUUCUGACACUAUUCAACUUGGAAGAAGCACCUUCCUAGAAGAAAUGACCGAAACUUCACACAUACUUCAACAUUCCACCUCACGUUCCCUGGUUAUAAUCGACGAGCUUGGUAGAGGUACUAGUACCCACGACGGCCUUGCCAUUGCUUAUGCCGCGUUGCAUAAUCUGCUUAAAUACAAAAAAUGUUUGCUCCUAUUUGUCACACACUAUCCCAAAGUUGCUGAUAUUGUGAAGGAAUUUCCACGAUCUGUGGGGGUAUACCAUGUCUCCUACCUUACUUCACACCAAAAUCCAACUUUAUCGCCCCUAAAAUCUGAUCACCAAGAUGUUACUUAUUUGUAUAAACUGGUUCCUGGUGUUGCGGAAAGCAGUUUCGGCUUCAAGGUUGCCCAACUUGCACAGAUACCUUUAUCAUGCAUUGAACGGGCUACAAAAAUGGGGGUCUGCUUACAAGCAUUAGAAACCAGAAGAGCACAACGAAAGUCCAAAGAAGAGCAGCCUUCGCAAGAAACAUCAGGCAAGAGGUUGGAAUUCUUUCUUCGAGAUGCCGGUGAGUCAGAAGAUGCGUAUGAGGAAUUCUUUCUGUCCUUGAAAGCUUUAAUAUGUGCCGCUGAUGAUAUUGAACAAAGUUGCCAACAAUUGAACCGAGCUAGAAGCAUGGCCAUGGACUUGUUAGGAAGACAGGUGAGAGAAAUCAUUCAUUGUCGGGUGGAUAAUCAAUGAGUUUUUUUGUUGAGUAGUAACAGGCUUGACUAGGACAGCACCUUGAAUCUAUGUACUUGAUUUGUCUUUACUCUGAAGUUGCAUUCUUAAGGAAAAGGGGAGGGACUUUGCAAAUUUCAUUCAUUAAUGAAGGCCAGAUUCUGGAUCAU